rnacentral:rRNA from 1 species
UGAUCCCUACGGGGCGCAGCAGUCGGGAAUAUUGCGCAAUGGAGGAAACUCUGACGCAGUGACGCCGCGUAUAGGAAGAAGGUUUUCGGAUUGUAAACUAUUGUCGUUAGGGAAGAUAAAAGACUGUACCUAAGGAGGAAGCCCCGGCUAACUAUGUGCCAGCAGCCGCGGUAAUACAUAGGGGGCAAGCGUUAUCCGGAAUUAUUGGGUGUAAAGGGUGCGGAGACGGAGAAACAAG